rnacentral:rRNA from 1 species
UUAAGCGACUAAGCGUACACGGUGGAUGCCCUGGCAGUCAGAGGCGAUGAAGGACGUGCUAAUCUGCGAUAAGCGUCGGUAAGGUGAUAUGAACCGUUAUAACCGGCGAUUUCCGAAUGGGGAAACCCAGUGUGAUUCGUCACACUAUCAUUAACUGAAUCCAUAGGUUAAUGAGGCGAACCGGGGGAACUGAAACAUCUAAGUACCCCGAGGAAAAGAAAUCAACCGAGAUUCCCCCAGUAGCGGCGAGCGAACGGGGAGCAGCCCAGAGCCUGAAUCAGUGUGUGUGUUAGUGGAAGCGUCUGGAAAGGCGCGCGAUACAGGGUGACAGCCCCGUACACAAAAAUGCACAUGCUGUGAGCUCGAUGAGUAGGGCGGGACACGUGGUAUCCUGUCUGAAUAUGGGGGGACCAUCCUCCAAGGCUAAAUACUCCUGACUGACCGAUAGUGAACCAGUACCGUGAGGGAAAGGCGAAAAGAACCCCGGCGAGGGGAGUGAAAAAGAACCUGAAACCGUGUACGUACAAGCAGUGGGAGCACAGAGCAAUCUGUGUGACUGCGUACCUUUUUGAUAAUGGGUCAGCGACUUAUAUUCUGUAGCAAGGUUAACCGAAUAGGGGAGCCGAAGGGAAACCGAGUCUUAACUGGGCGUUAAGUUGCAGGGUAUAGACCCGAAACCCGGUGAUCUAGCCAUGGGCAGGUUGAAGGUUGGGUAACACUAACUGGAGGACCGAACCGACUAAUGUUGAAAAAUUAGCGGAUGACUUGUGGCUGGGGGUGAAAGGCCAAUCAAACCGGGAGAUAGCUGGUUCUCCCCGAAAGCUAUUUAGGUAGCGCCUCGUGAAUUCAUCUCCGGGGGUAGAGCACUGUUUCGGCAAGGGGGUCAUCCCGACUUACCAACCCGAUGCAAACUGCGAAUACCGGAGAAUGUUAUCACGGGAGACACACGGCGGGUGCUAACGUCCGUCGUGAAGAGGGAAACAACCCAGACCGCCAGCUAAGGUCCCAAAGUCAUGGUUAAGUGGGAAACGAUGUGGGAAGGCCCAGACAGCCAGGAUGUUGGCUUAGAAGCAGCCAUCAUUUAAAGAAAGCGUAAUAGCUCACUGGUCGAGUCGGCCUGCGCGGAAGAUGUAACGGGGCUAAACCAUGCACCGAAGCUGCGGCAGCGACGCUGAUGCGUUGUUGGGUAGGGGAGCGUUCUGUAAGCCUGCGAAGGUGUGCUGUGAGGCAUGCUGGAGGUAUCAGAAGUGCGAAUGCUGACAUAAGUAACGAUAAAGCGGGUGAAAAGCCCGCUCGCCGGAAGACCAAGGGUUCCUGUCCAACGUUAAUCGGGGCAGGGUGAGUCGACCCCUAAGGCGAGGCCGAAAGGCGUAGUCGAUGGGAAACAGGUUAAUAUUCCUGUACUUGGUGUUACUGCGAAGGGGGGACGGAGAAGGCUAUGUUGGCCGGGCGACGGUUGUCCCGGUUUAAGCGUGUAGGCUGGUUUUCCAGGCAAAUCCGGAAAAUCAAGGCUGAGGCGUGAUGACGAGGCACUACGGUGCUGAAGCAACAAAUGCCCUGCUUCCAGGAAAAGCCUCUAAGCAUCAGGUAACAUCAAAUCGUACCCCAAACCGACACAGGUGGUCAGGUAGAGAAUACCAAGGCGCUUGAGAGAACUCGGGUGAAGGAACUAGGCAAAAUGGUGCCGUAACUUCGGGAGAAGGCACGCUGAUAUGUAGGUGAAGUCCCUCGCGGAUGGAGCUGAAAUCAGUCGAAGAUACCAGCUGGCUGCAACUGUUUAUUAAAAACACAGCACUGUGCAAACACGAAAGUGGACGUAUACGGUGUGACGCCUGCCCGGUGCCGGAAGGUUAAUUGAUGGGGUCAGCGCAAGCGAAGCUCUUGAUCGAAGCCCCGGUAAACGGCGGCCGUAACUAUAACGGUCCUAAGGUAGCGAAAUUCCUUGUCGGGUAAGUUCCGACCUGCACGAAUGGCGUAAUGAUGGCCAGGCUGUCUCCACCCGAGACUCAGUGAAAUUGAACUCGCUGUGAAGAUGCAGUGUACCCGCGGCAAGACGGAAAGACCCCGUGAACCUUUACUAUAGCUUGACACUGAACAUUGAGCCUUGAUGUGUAGGAUAGGUGGGAGGCUUUGAAGUGUGGACGCCAGUCUGCAUGGAGCCGGCCUUGAAAUACCACCCUUUAAUGUUUGAUGUUCUAACGUUGACCCGUAAUCCGGGUUGCGGACAGUGUCUGGUGGGUAGUUUGACUGGGGCGGUCUCCUCCUAAAGAGUAACGGAGGAGCACGAAGGUUGGCUAAUCCUGGUCGGACAUCAGGAGGUUAGUGCAAUGGCAUAAGCCAGCUUGACUGCGAGCGUGACGGCGCGAGCAGGUGCGAAAGCAGGUCAUAGUGAUCCGGUGGUUCUGAAUGGAAGGGCCAUCGCUCAACGGAUAAAAGGUACUCCGGGGAUAACAGGCUGAUACCGCCCAAGAGUUCAUAUCGACGGCGGUGUUUGGCACCUCGAUGUCGGCUCAUCACAUCCUGGGGCUGAAGUAGGUCCCAAGGGUAUGGCUGUUCGCCAUUUAAAGUGGUACGCGAGCUGGGUUUAGAACGUCGUGAGACAGUUCGGUCCCUAUCUGCCGUGGGCGCUGGAGAACUGAGGGGGGCUGCUCCUAGUACGAGAGGACCGGAGUGGACGCAUCACUGGUGUUCGGGUUGUCAUGCCAAUGGCACUGCCCGGUAGCUAAAUGCGGAAGAGAUAAGUGCUGAAAGCAUCUAAGCACGAAACUUGCCCCGAGAUGAGUUCUCCCUGACUCCUUGAGAGUCCUGAAGGAACGUUGAAGACGACGACGUUGAUAGGCCGGGUGUGUAAGCGCAGCGAUGCGUUGAGCUAACCGGUACUAAUGAACCGUGAGGCUUAACCUU